rnacentral:rRNA from 1 species
ACACUCCUACGGGAGGCAGCAGUGGGGAAUAUUGCACAAUGGGCGCAAGCCUGAUGCAGCCAUGCCGCGUGUAUGAAGAAGGCCUUCGGGUUGUAAAGUACUUUCAGCGGGGAGGAAGGCGAUAAGGUUAAUAACCUUGUCGAUUGACGUUACCCGCAGAAGAAGCACCGGCUAACUCCGUGCCAGCAGCCGCGGUAAUACGGAGGGUGCAAGCGUUAAUCGGAAUUACUGGGCGUAAAGCGCACGCAGGCGGUCUGUCAAGUCGGAUGUGAAAUCCCCGGGCUCAACCUGGGAACUGCAUUCGAAACUGGCAGGCUAGAGUCUUGUAGAGGGGGGUAGAAUUCCAGGUGUAGCGGUGAAAUGCGUAGAGAUCUGGAGGAAUACCGGUGGCGAAGGCGGCCCCCUGGACAAAGACUGACGCUCAGGUGCGAAAGCGUGGGGAGCAAACAGGAUUAGAAACCCCGGUAGUCC